rnacentral:rRNA from 1 species
AGAGCGAACGCUGGCGGCAGGCUUAACACAUGCAAGUCGAGCGCCCCGCAAGGGGAGCGGCAGACGGGUGAGUAACGCGUGGGAACGUACCUUUGGUUCGGAACAACACAGGGAAACUUGUGCUAAUACCGGAUAAGCCCUUACGGGGAAAGAUUUAUCGCCGAAAGAUCGGCCCGCGUCUGAUUAGCUAGUUGGUGAGGUAACGGCUCACCAAGGCGACGAUCAGUAGCUGGUCUGAGAGGAUGAUCAGCCACAUUGGGACUGAGACACGGCCCAAACUCCUACGGGAGGCAGCAGUGGGGAAUAUUGGACAAUGGGCGCAAGCCUGAUCCAGCCAUGCCGCGUGAGUGAUGAAGGCCCUAGGGUUGUAAAGCUCUUUUAACGGGGAAGAUAAUGACGGUACCCGUAGAAUAAGCCCCGGCUAACUUCGUGCCAGCAGCCGC